rnacentral:rRNA from 1 species
UACGGAGGGUGCGAACGUUAAUCGGAAUCACUGGGCGUAAAGCGCGCGUAGGCGGUCUGUUAAGUGGGAUGUGAAAUCCCCGGGCUUAACCUGGGAAUUGCAUUUCAAACUGGCCGACUAGAGUACGGUAGAGGGAGGUAGAAUUUCCUGUGUAGCGGUGAAAUGCGUAGAUAUAGGAAGGAAUACCGGUGGCGAAGGCGGCAUCCUGGACCGGUAUUGACGCUGAGGAGCGAAAGCCAGGGGAGCAAACGGG